GAGGGCAUAGUGUAACGGAAGCACACAGGCUCCCGGGGCCUGAUCGCCGGUUUCCACCCCGGCAGAAGAGGUUCGACUCCUCUUGCCCUUG
rnacentral:tRNA from 1 species